rnacentral:tRNA from 1 species
AAGAGAGGCGGGCCGCGCUAGGGAUUGCUAAUCCCCAAGCCCCACGGUUCAAGCCCGUGGCUCACUUA